AUACGGAGGGUGCAAGCGUUGUUCGGAAUCACUGGGCGUAAAGGGCGCGCAGGCGGUUUGAUUAGUCAGAUGUGAAAGCCCACGGCUCAACCAUGGAAGUGCAUUUGAAACUGUCAGACUUGAGUACUAGAGGGGAAAGUGGAAUUCCCGGUGUAGAGGUGAAAUUCGUAGAUAUCGGGAGGAAUACCGGUGGCGAAGGCGACUUUCUGGCUAGAUACUGACGCUGAGGCGCGAAAGCGUGGGGAGCAAACAGGAUUAGAUACCCCAGUAGUCC
rnacentral:rRNA from 1 species